rnacentral:lncRNA from 1 species
CAGAUAUUUAUUGAGAAGAGCUGGGAUAUACAGCAAGGAUCAAGCCAGAUGAGGAUGCUGCUCUGGUGAAGCUUAUUUUCCAGUGGGAAACAGACAGACAAUAAACAAGUGGUUUGAAUCAUGUUUUAUGUUACUUGCACCAAGAAGAAUCCUCUAUCAUACAGUUGAGUGUUCAAUCAAAUGGCUGCCUGGCAUAUAUGCCUCCUUCAUUUCUG